rnacentral:rRNA from 1 species
UACGUAGGUGGCAAGCGUUGUCCGGAAUUACUGGGUGUAAAGGGAGCGUAGGCGGGAAGGCAAGUUGAAUGUUAAAUCUAUCGGCUCAACCGGUAGCCGCGUUCAAAACUGUUUUUCUUGAGUGAAGUAGAGGUUGGCGGAAUUCCUAGUGUAGCGGUGAAAUGCGUAGAUAUUAGGAGGAACACCAGUGGCGAAGGCGGCCGACUGGGCUUUUACUGACGCUGAGGCUCGAAAGCGUGGGGAGCAAACAGG